AAAAUAAAGAUUCUAUCAUCUAAAGAUUUUAUGUUAACCCAAGUACCCCAUUCCUCAUCCAGCUUGUAAACUCUAAAAUCGACAGCCAUAGGUCUGGCUUUACUCAUCAAUCUCAAAAAACGAAGAGGAUUGCCAUUGGUACCAAUAACAUCCUCAUAAUCUUUCCAUGUCCUCCUUUCUCCAUCUAGAUACCUAUCGACAACGUAAAGAUCUCCACGUGAUUCCACCAAAUUCUUUUGCCCACCGCAGCCAUAAAGCGGAGGUGAGUAUUGGAUCACCUUCAAUGAUGAGUCAAUCCAAGAAACUGUCCCCCAUCGGUCCACAACAUAAAACUGCC
rnacentral:lncRNA from 1 species